rnacentral:misc_RNA from 1 species
UUUUGGGUGUCCUUGGUGAA